rnacentral:rRNA from 1 species
UGAGUAACCUGCCCUUAACUCUGGGAUAAGCCUGGGAAACUGGGUCUAAUACCGGAUAUGACUCCUCAUCGCAUGGUGGGGGGUGGAAAGCUUUAUUGUGGUUUUGGAUGGACUCGCGGCCUAUCAGCUUGUUGGUGAGGUAAUGGCUCACCAAGGCGA